AACGAACGCUGGCGGCAGGCUUAACACAUGCAAGUCGAACGCAUCCUUCGGGGUGAGUGGCAGACGGGUGAGUAACGCGUGGGAACGUGCCCUUCGGUUCGGGAUAACCUAGGGAAACUUGGGCUAAUACCGGAUACGUGCGAGAGCAGAAAGAUUUAUCGCUGAAGGAUCGGCCCGCGACUGAUUAGCUAGUUGGUGGGGUAAUGGCCCACCAAGGCGACGAUCAGUAGCUGGUCUGAGAGGAUGAUCAGCCACAUUGGGACUGAGACACGGCCCAAAAUCCUACGGGAGGGAGCAGUGGGGAAUAUUGGACAAUGGGCGCAAGCCUGAUCCAGCCAUGCCGCGUGGGUGAUGAAGGCCUUAGGGUUGUAAAGCUCUUUCGUCCGGGACGAUAAUGACGGUACCGGUAGAAGGAGCCCCGGCUAACUUCGUGCCAGCCGCCGCGGUAAAAC
rnacentral:rRNA from 1 species